UUGUGCUGACAUGACACAUCUUUCAAACUUUUUUUUUAAUUCGCUGUUCAUAAAAUGUGACGAUCAUUCAAAACACUUCGGGUUUUCUCUCUAAUAAGGCAUAUACAGCUUUAGCCAGAAUCUGUACAACUUUUUAGAACUUUUGGUUUCGAGUGCUCUUCAACUUGAUUUAGCCUUUCAACAGAUUUAAAUGGAGUACCAGUGUGUCCGACGUACAAACUUAUAAGCCUAUUAUCUUUGGGG
rnacentral:lncRNA from 1 species